UACGUAGGGGGCGAGCGUUGUCCGGAGUUACUGGGCGUAAAGCGCGCGUAGGCGGGGAAUUAAGUGAGAAGUGAAAGGCUGGGGCUCAACCUCAUGCAGUGCUUCUCAUACUGGUUCUCUUGAGGGCGGUAGAGAGAAGUGGAAUGGCUGGUGUAGCGGUGAAAUGCGUAGAUAUUCGGAAGAACACCAGUGGCGAAGGCGACUUACUGGACACAUAUUGACGCUGAGGUGCGAAAGCGUGGGGAGCAAACAGG
rnacentral:rRNA from 1 species